CCGGGGCGGUCGUCGGGGCCGGGGGGGACCGCAGCGAGGCCACCGCCGCCGCCAUGGAAGCUCUGGGACCCGGGCCCCCAGCAAGCCUCUUCCAGCCACCCCGACGCCCAGGCCUGGGAACUGUUGGGAAACCCAUCCGCCUCCUAGCCAACCAUUUCCAGGUUCAGAUCCCCAAGAUUGAUGUUUAUCACUAUGAUGUAGAUAUCAAACCUGAGAAACGCCCCCGAAGAGUCAACAGGGAGGUGGUGGAUACCAUGGUGAGGCACUUCAAGAUGCAGAUCUUUGGUGAUCGGCAGCCCGGGUAUGAUGGGAAACGCAACAUGUACACUGCCCACCCCCUCCCGAUUGGCAGGGACAGAGUGGAUAUGGAGGUGACACUUCCAGGAGAAGGGAAGGACCAGACAUUUAAGGUGUCCAUUCAGUGGGUGUCAGUCGUCAGCCUCCAGCUGCUGCUGGAAGCUCUGGCAGGGCACCUGAAUGAAGUUCCUGAAGAUUCUGUGCAGGCACUUGAUGUAAUCACACGGCACCUUCCCUCCAUGAGGUACACUCCUGUGGGUCGCUCCUUCUUCUCCCCCCCUGAAGGUUAUUACCACCCUCUGGGUGGUGGCAGGGAGGUCUGGUUUGGUUUUCACCAGUCAGUCAGGCCUGCCAUGUGGAACAUGAUGCUCAACAUUGAUGUGUCAGCAACUGCUUUCUAUCGUGCCCAGCCUAUCAUUGAGUUCAUGUGUGAGGUCUUGGACAUUCAGAACAUCAAUGAACAAACCAAGCCUCUUACAGACUCCCAGCGUGUCAAAUUUACCAAAGAAAUCAGAGGUCUAAAAGUAGAGGUUACCCAUUGUGGCCAGAUGAAGAGAAAAUACAGAGUCUGCAAUGUCACUCGGAGGCCAGCCAGUCAUCAGACGUUUCCUCUGCAGCUGGAAAAUGGGCAGGCUAUGGAGUGCACAGUAGCUCAGUAUUUUAAGCAGAAGUACAGUCUGCAGCUAAAAUAUCCUCACCUUCCCUGUCUCCAAGUAGGACAAGAACAGAAACACACAUACUUACCCCUUGAGGUGUGCAACAUCGUGGCAGGCCAGAGGUGCAUCAAGAAGCUCACAGACAAUCAGACCUCCACCAUGAUCAAAGCAACUGCAAGGUCUGCACCAGACAGACAGGAGGAGAUCAGCAGACUUGUGAAAAGUAACAGCAUGGUUGGUGGACCUGAUCCCUAUCUGAAGGAGUUUGGUAUUGUUGUCCAUAAUGAAAUGACUGAGUUGACAGGCAGAGUUUUGCCAGCACCAAUGCUGCAAUAUGGAGGCAGGAACAAGACUGUGGCCACACCAAACCAAGGCGUGUGGGACAUGAGGGGGAAACAGUUCUAUGCUGGCAUUGAGAUUAAAGUUUGGGCUGUUGCCUGUUUUGCUCCUCAAAAACAAUGCAGGGAAGACUUACUAAAGAGUUUUACUGACCAGCUACGCAAGAUCUCCAAGGAUGCAGGGAUGCCCAUCCAAGGCCAGCCCUGCUUCUGCAAAUAUGCCCAGGGGGCAGACAGUGUGGAGCCCAUGUUUAAACACUUAAAACUGACUUAUGUUGGUCUGCAGCUGAUCGUGGUGAUUCUCCCUGGAAAGACUCCUGUGUAUGCUGAAGUGAAGAGGGUUGGUGACACUCUCCUGGGCAUGGCCACUCAGUGUGUUCAAGUAAAGAACGUGGUAAAAACCUCUCCACAAACGCUGUCCAACCUGUGUCUGAAGAUAAAUGCAAAGCUUGGAGGAAUCAACAACGUCCUUGUACCUCAUCAAAGGCCCUCAGUGUUCCAGCAGCCAGUGAUCUUUCUGGGAGCAGAUGUCACUCACCCUCCAGCUGGGGAUGGGAAGAAGCCCUCCAUAGCAGCAGUGGUGGGCAGCAUGGACGGGCACCCCAGCCGGUACUGUGCCACCGUGCGGGUCCAGACCUCCCGCCAGGAAACCUCCCAGGAGCUGCUCUACAGCCAGGAGGUGAUCCAGGACCUGACCAACAUGGUGCGAGAACUAUUGAUCCAGUUUUACAAAUCCACACGUUUCAAACCCACGAGGAUCAUUUACUACAGAGGGGGAGUGUCAGAAGGACAGAUGAAGCAGGUAGCUUGGCCAGAACUGAUAGCAAUCCGGAAGGCCUGUAUUAGUUUGGAAGAAGAUUAUAGACCAGGAAUAACCUACAUUGUUGUGCAGAAAAGGCAUCACACCAGACUAUUCUGUGCUGACAAAACUGAAAGGGUGGGCAAGAGCGGCAACGUACCAGCAGGCACUACUGUGGACAGCACCAUCACGCAUCCUUCUGAAUUUGACUUUUACCUCUGUAGCCAUGCAGGAAUUCAGGGAACCAGCCGGCCCUCCCACUACCAGGUGUUGUGGGAUGACAACUGUUUCACUGCUGAUGAGCUGCAGCUGUUGACAUACCAGCUGUGCCACACGUACGUCCGGUGUACGCGGUCGGUCUCUAUUCCAGCCCCUGCCUACUAUGCCAGGCUGGUAGCCUUUAGGGCCAGGUACCAUCUCGUGGACAAGGAUCACGACAGUGCUGAAGGCAGCCACGUGUCAGGGCAGAGCAAUGGCCGUGAUCCUCAGGCUCUGGCAAAGGCAGUGCAGAUCCACCACGACACUCAGCACACGAUGUACUUUGCUUGAGAGCAUCUGGGAAGAUGAGGCCAAACCAACAACCCGUGCAGUCCUGAACUGGUUUGAAUGCCUACUGCUCUAGCUAGGGCCCGGUUUGUUUCAGGCUGCCCACUACCAGCAGCUCUGAACAGUCGCACUGAAUCUGUGCUUCACAGCAAUGUCUGAUGCACCAACACAAUUGAGCCAUUUGUUUCCUUGUUUUAUGUCAUAGAAAUCCAUAGACUGUCUUUUCUGAUGCAUUGGACUGAAUUUUUACCUCAAAGCGCAAAAGGCUGAUCAUCCUGAAGUUUUUAAAGGACUUGGCACGAAAGGUUUCUAUUGAAUAUUUUGCUAGCUGUCGUUUUUAAGUUCUCUUCUCAUCCCAUGAGCUUAUCAUGACGACUGAUUCCCUCUCUCCAGGCACUGCUUACUGAACUCUGAACAAGCUCUGGCAAUCACUAGUUAGCCUGUCUGCAGCCUGUGAACAGCCUGGCUUCUUGUUGUGAGUCCCACAGCUUUGUGUGGUGCCUGUAGCUGCAUCCUCCAGGCAUGGUGUGCAGGCUCCUGCCCCAACACCAGCCUCAGAGUUAUUUAACCUCCAUCAGCAGCUUUGCCCUUCCCUGGGGAAGGGCACCUCUGUUCAGAUCCAGUGUUUGACAAAACCCACCCCCCAAACUACCUUUGUGGAUGUGCUGUAGGAUUUUUCUUGCUCAAUAGCAAGGGAGUAACUCUGCUUUCAUUUUUGGAAGGCAGGGUUUGGAGGGCAUUGUAUCAAUACUGUUUCAACUACAAGGUUUUUUCCUUGUGCAUUGGAGGAAAGAUCUUGUAAUAUCACUUACAGGUUUUCUUAUACCUUGCUAUUGACAUUUUCAUAUUUCUAUGUCUAGAGGCUGAAACUUCAAUGUAAAAUGUUUGCAUUUGUUCAUUUUGACUUAUGAUGUAAUUUUUGGUUUCUAUAUUGUUAGACUUGUAAUGUUUAAAAUUGUAUUUUAUUAAAUUUGGACUGGAUGUAUGUCUAUAGCAAUACGAGGUACUCUUUCUAAACUGUUAUGGGCGGGUUAGCAGCCCCAUGUUGCGGUAAGAUGCUGGUCGUGUACAACUUGCAAUGUAUUUUAUUUUUUUUAGCCUGCAGGGAUAUUUUGUGUUCAUGUGUCCAAAAAUAAUAAUAAUAAAAAAAAAAAAAUUGGCAUUCUUGUGCCAAAUGUUCUGUUUUUCCUUGUUGAUGUCUAAUAAAUGCAAUGUACAGAGUGAGCAACCGCUACUGUUGCCUGUAAACAAAUGUCUUAAAUUAUUUAA